rnacentral:rRNA from 1 species
AAGACGUAGGGGGCGAGCGUUGCCCGGAUUCACUGGGCGUAAAGCGGGUGCAGGCGGCCGGGUAAGUCCCGUGUGAAAGCCCACGGCUCAACCGUGGGACGUCGCGGGAAACUGCUCGGCUUGAGGGCAGCAGAGGGUGGUGGAAUUCCCGGUGUAGCGGUGAAAUGCGUAGAGAUCGGGAGGAACGCCAGUGGCGAAGGCGGCCACCUGGGCUGUCUCUGACGCUCAGACCCGAAAGCUGGGGGAGCGAACGGGAUUAGAUACCCCGGUAGUCCCAGCCCUAAACGAUGCUCACUAGGUGUCGGGGGGUCACUCCCUCGGUGCCGAAGCUAACGCAUUAAGUGAGCCGCCUGGGGAGUACGGCCGCAAGGCU